rnacentral:lncRNA from 1 species
CUUGUCCCUAAAAUUAUACUUUUAUGGAUAAUUUCCAAACUUAACUAUAAAAUUAGCAAUAUUACUCUUUAAUCAAAUAAUCUCACUUCUAGAAAUGCAUCUUAAGAAAAAAAUCCCAAAUGAAGAUUCCAAGUAAAGAAAGAUAUUUGUUAUAGAAUUGUUUAUAAUGUUAAAUUAAAGAAAGUGACUUAGCUGGUCAACAAUAGGAAAAUAAUUAAGUAAAUUUUUCAAUGUCCAGUGGAGGAACCUUAUGCAGACCUCCAAAAUAAUAGUUGUGGGUCUAAGUAGAAAUAAUACAAAUUGCUGAUGAUGUGCUAAAUGAAAACACUAGGAUAUAAAAUUAAGUGAUACCAUCCUUGAAACUAUAUAGAAUAUGAAUAAACAAAGAAAAGGAACACAAAACAGGAAAUUAGUUGACUUUAAAGAUAACUCUUAAUUUUUAAAUUAUUUAUAGUGUUACACUUGUAAGACAUUUUAAAUGAUAAAUAUUAUUUUAUUAAAUACUGUAUUAUUUUAAAAUAUAUCUUCUCUUGUGCCUCUACCAGGGACAGAGGUAUUAUAAACCUAUGGUUUAGAACACUGGAAAAAUAUAAACAGAGCUAUAGAUUUAAACAAACAACAUAAAACAUUUUAAUUCAGUAUAUAGAGGUAAAAUUGGGAAUGCUCAUAAAGAUUAGAAUGGUUCCACUCAAGAAUGAACAUGAAAUGUAAAGUCAAAUAAGGUAAAGAAAUUUGGUUAUGGUUUUGUUUUCCUUGAGUGUCAUGCACAAUGAAGUUAUUUUAAUAAUUAAGGUUGUCUUUUGCACAAAUGAAAAUGGCAAUAAUAAGAUGUCAGAGCUGUAAGGGAUGUUGGAGAUUAUCUGUCAUCAUCUUUCACUCACAAAUUAAGAAACAGACCUUGAGAAGAUAAAUGACUCACCCAAGGUCACAUAAGUAGUCAGUGGAGAAGGAGCAAUGAAGUUCAGGUCUUUUUCAAUGUUAUUCAUCCCCCAGAAUAAACACGCAUUAAAUAAGCAUUCAUUAAGUAGCUAGCUAUUCUGUGCUAGCUGUAUUUGGACACUGUGAAUAUACGGGACACUGUGUUUCACACUCUACACAAAGAUAAGUUGUGGACAUAUCCUACCCUUAAAGGAUCAGAGUUUUGUGGGGUGAACAUUAGGGUAAUAAUUAUAAGACAUAUUGAUAUAAGUACUUGCAUUCUACUAAGUUCCAUGUGCCUUGGGGCAUGACCUUGAAGGACAUAACAUAACAUUUGGUGUCUGAGAAGUCUCAGGAAAGAAAUGACUUUUGCCUUAUCUCUAAAGGUUUGAGUGAAAUUUUACCACCCAGAAACAGCACAUUGCAAAAGCACAGAAAAAUGAAAAACUUGGGUGUUCUACAGAAUGCAGAAUACAUUGAUAUGGCACAAAUUUGGAAUGGGGGUAGGUGGCAAGGAAGAAGGGGAGGCAGAUGAGGCUAGAGUGGGGCAAGUUACAGACACUUGGAGAGAUUCUUCUAUUCUGAGGAUUUUGAAAUUUGUGGAAUAGGAAGAUAAAAUACAUGGAUUAUUCCUAGGCAGGAAAAAUGGUAUAAUCAUAUAAUGUAAGUUUCAGAAAUGUAUCAAGGUGUGGAGGACAAAGCUGGACAGGAAGAAGCAGGAAGACAAGUUAUGAGGCUAUUGAGGUAGUCUGUGCAAGAUAUACUAAGGACCUGAUAUGAGGAAGUGACAGUGGGCUAGGAAAGGGAAUAAAUACUUGAAAGAUAUUUCUGAGGUAUAAUUUUUAAAAUUUUAACAAAUUGGUUGUAAAUAGGGAAAUGGUGGAAUAAGAGUUAAAUCCAACCAUCCUGAAGUAGUUUAAUCAAUAAGUAGCUCUAGAAAUUUUAGGCAAAUUUAAAUAACACAAAAACCCUAAAAGAAUUUAAUUUGCUCCUAUCUGUACGUCACAAAGUGAUGCUCAAAACUUCCAUAAUUAGCACAUCAAAUCUCUUGGUAAUCAAAUGCAAGUUUUGCAAGGGAGAUCUUGAAUUAAGAAUAUAUAUCACACUUACCAAGACUGAAUCAGGAAGACAUAGAAAUAUGAAUCAGAUCUAUAACUAGUAAUGAGAUUGAAUUAUUAAUCAACUAUCAAACAAAGGAAAGUCCAGGACCAAAUGGGUGUCACUGGUGGAUUCUGCUAAACGUUUAAAGAAGAAUUAACACUAAUUAUCCUCAGACUCUUCCAGAAAAUUAAAGAGUUCCAAACUCAUUCUAUAAGGCCAGCAUUAAUCUUAUACCAAACCCAGACAAAAACACUUCAGGAAAACUAUAGACUAAUAUCCCUGAUGAAUAUUGACACAAAAUCCUCAACAAAAUGCUACCAAACAGAAUUCAACAGCAUAUUUAAAAGAUUCUACACAAUGACUAUGUGAGAUUUAUUUCUGGAAUGUGAGGAUGAUUCAACAGAUGAAAAUCAAUCAAUGUAAUAUAUCACAUUAACAAAUCAAUCAAUGUAGUAUAUCACAUUUACAAAACGAAGGGUAAAAAAAACUCAGUCGUCUCAAUUGAUAUAAAAAAGAACCUGACAAAAUUCAACAACCUUGAAUAAUACAAUAAAAUAACUCAAUAAACUAAGGAUAGAGGGUAACUACCCUAACAUAAUAAAAGCCAUAUAUGAAAAAUUCACAGCUCACGUCAUAUUCAAUGGUGAAAGACUGAAAGCUCUGUCUCCAAUAUCAGAAACAAGACAAUUAUGCCCACUUUUGCCAUUUCUAUUCAACACAGUCCUGGAAGCUUAAGCCAGCACUAUUAGGCAAGAAAAAUCAGUAAAAGGCUACACACUGAAAGAAAGAGGUAAAAUUAUCUCCGUCUGCAGACAUAAUCUUAAGUGUAGAAUGCUUUAAAGAUUUCACCAAUUAUUAUUUUUUAAACUACUAGAACUAACAAAUUCAGCAAAGUUGCAGGAUACAAACUCAACACAAAAGAAGCAGGUGUGUUUCUAUACACUAACAAUGAGCAAUCCAAAAAAAUAAGAAGCAGCAGCCAAUUCCAUUUACAGUAGCACCAAAAAUAAUAAAAUACUUCGGAGUAACUUAACCAAGGUGGUCAAAAAAUUGUAUAUUGAAAACUACAAAACAAUGUUUAAGCAAAUAAGACACAAAUAAAUGGAAAUAUAUUUUUGUUUAUUAGUUAAAAGACUUAAUAUUGUUAACAUAUCAGUACUACCCAAAGCAAUCUAUAGAUUUAUGCAAUUCCUGUCAAAAUACCAGUAGCAUUUUUUGCAGAAAUAGAAAAAUCCAUUUUCAGAUUCAUAUGAAAUCACAGGGGACCCCAAAUAGCCAAAACAAUCUUCUAAAAAAAGAACAAAGAUGGAGGUUUUACAUUUCCUGAUUUCAAAACUUAUUAAAAUGCUAUAUUAAUCAAAACUAUGUGGUACUGGCAUAAAGACAUGCAUAUAGACCAAUGGAAUAGAAUAAGAGAGCUCAGAAAUUAGCUCUCAUACAUAGGGUCAAAUGAUUUUUGGCAAGAGUGUCAAGACUGUUCAAUGGGGAAACAGUGUCUCCUCAACAAAUGAUGCUGGGAAAAUUGGACAUCCAUAUGCAAAAGAAUGAAUUUGGACCUCUAUCUUACACCAUAUACAAAAAUUACGUCAAAAUGGAUCAAAGAUCUAAACUGAAGACCUAAAACUAUAAAAUGCUUACCAGAAAAUAUAGAGGAAAAGCUUUAUGAUAUUAAAUUUGGCAAAGAUUUCCUGGACAUGACACCAAAAACACAGGCAAGAAAAGUAAAAGUAGACAAAUUGAAAUAUAUCAAAAUAUAAAACUUCUGUGCAUCAGAGGACACAAGCAACAGAGUAAAAAGGCAAACUAUGGAAUUAAAGAGAAUAUUUGUAAAUACAUCUGAUAAGGAAUUAAUAUCCAGAAUAUAUUAAGAACUCCUACAACUGAACAACAACAAAAAAAUAACCUGAUUUAAAAAUGGAAAAAAAUCUGAACAGACAUUUUUCAAAAGUGAUAUAUAAACGGAUAUAAAUGGCCAACAAGCAUAUGAAAAGAUAUUCAACAUUGUUAAUCAUUAGGGAAAUGCAAAUCAAAACCAACAAUGAGAUAUCACUCACACCCAUUAGAAUGAAGAAGAAAGAAAAAAAAGAUGGAAGGAAGGAAGAAAAAAAAAGAAAGAAAGAAGGAAAGAAAGACAGGGAAAGAAGAGUUGAUAAAGAUAAGGAGAAAUUGGAACUUUAGUGCACGAUUGGGAAUGUAAAAUGGUGCAGACACAAGGAAAAGAGUGUAGCAGUUUCUAUAUGAUCCAACAAUUCCACUGUUGCACAUAUAUAUGCAAAAUAAUUGAAGGCAAGAUUUCAAAGAGAUAGUUACAUACUCAUAUUCAUAGCAGCACUAUUCACAAUAGCCAAGAGGUAAAACCAACGCAAGUGUCCAUUAAUGGAUGAACAGAUAAGCAAAAUGAGAUCUAUUCAUACAAUGCAAUAUUAAUUAGCCUUCAAAAGGAAGAAAACUCUGACACAGUCAACAACUUGGAUGAAUUUUGAAAACAUUAUGCUAAGUGAAAUAAGCCAGUCACAAAGAGACAAAUACUGUAUGAUUCCACUUAAUAAGAGAUAUCUAGAGUCGUCAGAUUCUUAGAAAUGGAAAGUAGAAUGGUGAUUGCCAGGCACCAGGGCAAGGUGAAAGAAACAGUUGUUAUUUAAUGGGUACAGAGUUUCUGUUUUGCAAAUGAAAAAGUUCUGGAGAUUGGUUGUACAGCAAUGUGCAUAUACUUAAUACUCCUGAAUUAUACAAUUAGAAAUUGUUACAAUGGUAAAUUUUAUAUAUAUUCUUAACCACAAUCGAAUUUUUGAAAAAAGAAUACUAGUGGUGGAAAACCUCUGAAAGAAGGGUAAAAAACUAUGUUAUGGGCAACAAUGAAAAUAAAUUUACACUGAGGCCACAAAUUAUUGAAAUUCAUCUCUGACUUUAAGUCUCAGACCAUGAGCAAGGAAAAUAAAUUCUCUUAAGAAGAUAGGCCCAAAUGACUAAGAGUCAGGUAGAAGCAAUUUGCAAAGCAAGGAAAGAAAUAAUUUCUUGAUGGAGUCAUCUACACUGUGAUGCCAAUCCCUGCACCAGUUUUCGUUGGAGCGUGCCCUCCCCUCUUCAUUAAUCAAAGGUAAUGCAGAAUUACAGAAUGGAAUUACUUGCCAAAGAGUUUUCCAUUUUCUGUCCCUGAGAUGAUGCUGAUUGGAGCGAGAAAAGUUUUCUGAGGACAAAUGCUCACGCUCUUAGCACCAGAGUUUGCUUGUAGCAAAAACAGAAUGCUUAGAGGUGUGCUUUUGUUAUUAUUCUCAGUGGCUCUGGUGAGCCCAGUGCAAUCAGCGAUACUCAUCCAGGCCAAUUCACCAUUAGGGAGCCGCACAUGAAACCAUUUACAUUUCCCAUUUUGUUUCAAGCAAGUCAGGUCUUUAACUGGAUUGUGGUAAUUGAACCUUCCUGUUACAACACUGCUUUUGCUGCCCAACGGAUUCAAAAGCUGCUCUCGUUACAUUUAUUUGAACUUUUAUUUCAUUCAUACUUUAUACCUCUGGUUCUCAAUCUUCAGUCCUGUAGCGAACUCUAUAAAAGGAAAAAGAAAUUCUUACAGACUCUCACAGAUUCAUUUAAAUUCUUUUUUUGUUUUAUUUUAUUAUUAUUAUUAUUUUUUUUUUUUUUUUUGAGACGGAGUCUGGCUCUAUCACCCAGGCUGGAGUGCAGAGGCGCGAUCUCGGCUCACUGCAAGCUCCGCCUCUCGGGUUCACGCCAUUCUCCUGCCUCAGCCUCCCGAGUAGCUGGGACUACAGGCGCCCACCACCACGCCCGGCUAAUUUUUUGUAUUUUUAGUAGAGACGGGGUUUCACCGUGUUAGCCAGGAUGGUCUCGAUCUGCUGACCUCAUGAUCCACCCGCCUCGGCCUCCCAAAGUGCUGGGAUUACAGGCGUGAGCCACCGCCCCCAGCCCAUUUAAAUUCUUUUAAUGAUAAUUUUAAUUAAGUAUGUUUUACAAAAAUAAGCCUAAAAGUCACAAUACUAAUUAUACAAUAAUGAAAACCAAAUAAUAUUCAAAUACAAUGUGAGUAUAUAACCCAAACACUCAAAAUCCUAAUAUUAAUGUUGUAUGACAGUGUUGUUUUUCCUUGAAUUGUAUCACCACCUUCACCUGUUUGCUCCAGAGCAGGUUCUUUUUAGAUAGGUGCUGUGAGAACACUCAGUUGUCUGGUCAUAUUUCUAUGCUGCAAUUACAGUGGAGCCUCUGCUCACACAGCCUGUCAUGAUGCCAUUUGGCCUCUCUUAGCACAAAGGCAGCAUUUACAUAAUAAUUCCAUUCCUAUCCUUUACUCAUUAGCCCACAGUCACAAAACAGUGCUAUUUGGUGAUCAGCGCAAAUGGGGCCCCUGAAAUCAGAGAGCAAUUUUUAUCGAAAGAAGAGUCUAAGUGAUACAGAAUACAUCUCCACUGUAUUAAUUUUUAAAUGACCAUAUAAAUUAAAACAAAAAUUUUAAUUUUGAAGAGAAAUAGCAGAGGUUCUUGGGAUUGGUUGAGGAACACUACUCUAUUACCAUGCUGCCCUUACUAUCUAUUUAAUACUUAAAUACAGCAUUUCAUUAUUUUCUAUUUGUCUCUGCCAGUUAGAGUGUCAGCUCCUUGAGAGCAAGAAGCCUUAUGGUUCUAUUGCUUCCCCGACAGUAUCCAAUAAUGCUCUGCCCAGGAUAGUAAAUUAUGAGUAAUCAAUUGAUUGCUUGCUUCAGAGGUUGCUGAAUUCAAUGAUUGAUUAAGGCUUCCUGAGUGUUAAUACUUCAGAGUCUGUACCAGUCAGUUCACUGGUUUAGAGAAGACAUUAUUAUUGUAGAUUACAGAAAAUGGGUUCAGACCAAAUAUGAGCCAUUUUGAGACAUGAAGGGAGGUUCUGUCGGCUUACCACAGUAGUGCUCCAUUUGCCUGCCACCUGCAUUCAGAUCAUAACCCCUGAGCACUCACACCUCCUGCUGGAGCCCUGAGCUAGAGAAUGGAGAUGGCCAGGUGUGGUGGUGCACACCUAUAAUCCCAGCUUCUGGGGAGGCUGAGGCAUGAGAAUCACUUGAGCCUGGGAGGCAGAGGUUGCAGUGAGCUGAGAUUGCGCCCUUGCACUCCAGCCUGGGUGACAGAGUGAGACUCCAUCUUAAAAUAAAUAAAUUAAAUUAAAU